CCUACGGGUGGCAGCAGUGAGGAAUAUUGGUCAAUGGUCGGGAGACUGAACCAGCCAAGCCGCGUGAGGGAGGAAGGUACAGAGUAUCGUAAACCUCUUUUGUCAGGGAACAAAGGCGGGGACGUGUCCCCGGCUGAGUGUACCUUAAGAAAAAGCAUCGGCUAACUCCGUGCCAGCAGCCGCGGUAAUACGGAGGAUGCGAGCGUUAUCCGGAUUUAUUGGGUUUAAAGGGUGCGCAGGCGGUCUGUUAAGUCAGCGGUCAAAGCCCGGGGCUCAAACCCGGCCCGCCGUUGAAACUGGCAGUCUCGAGUGGGAGAGAAGUAUGCGGAAGGCGCGGUGUAGCGGUGAAAUGCAUAGAUAUCGCGCAGAACUCCGAUUGCGAAGGCAGCAUGCCGGCUCCACACUGACGCUGAGGCACGAAAGCGUGGGUAUCGAACAGGAUUAGAUACCCUUGUAGUC
rnacentral:rRNA from 1 species